UACGUAGGGGGCUAGCGUUGUCCGGAUUUAUUGGGCGUAAAGAGCGUGUAGGCGGCCAGGUAGGUCUGGUGUGAAAACUCGAGGCUUAACCUCGAGAUGUCAUCGGAAACCAUCUGGCUAGAGUCCGGAAGAGGAGAGUGGAAUUCCUGGUGUAGCGGUGAAAUGCGCAGAUAUCAGGAAGAACACCAAUGGCGCAAGCAGCUCUCUGGGACGGUACUGACGCUGAGACGCGAAAGCGUGGGGAGCGAACAGG
rnacentral:rRNA from 1 species